GUGGGGAAUAUUGGACAAUGGGCGCAAGCCUGAUCCAGCAAUGCCGCGUGGGUGAAGAAGGUCUUCGGAUCGUAAAGCCCUUUCGACAGGGACGAUGAUGACGGUACCUGUAGAAGAAGCCCCGGCUAACUUCGUGCCAGCAGCCGCGGUAAUACGAAGGGGGCUAGCGUUACUCGGAAUUACUGGGCGUAAAGUGCGCGUAGGCGGCUCUGUUAGUCAGGCGUGAAAUUCCUGGGCUUAACCUGGGGACUGCGCUUGAUACUGCAGGGCUUGAGGCCGAGAGAGGGUGGUGGAAUUCCCAGUGUAGAGGUGAAAUUCGUAGAUAUUGGGAAGAACACCGGUGGCGAAGGCGACCACCUGGCUCGGUUCUGACGCUGAGGCGCGACAGCGUGGGGAGCAAACAGGAUUAGAUACCCCGGUAGUCC
rnacentral:rRNA from 1 species